UACGGAGGGGGCUAGCGUUGUUCGGAAUUACUGGGCGUAAAGCGCACGUAGGCGGCUUUGCAAGUUAGAGGUGAAAGCCCGGGGCUCAACCCCGGAAUUGCCUUUAAAACUGCAUCGCUAGAAUUGUGGAGAGGUAAGUGGAAUUCCGAGUGUAGAGGUGAAAUUCGUAGAUAUUCGGAGGAACACCAGAAGCGAAGGCGGCCAACUGGCCCGAUACUGACGCUGAGGCGCGAAAGCGUGGGGAGCAAACAGG
rnacentral:rRNA from 1 species